rnacentral:lncRNA from 1 species
AAGAUUGAGAACCUCAAUCAGAAUAUAGGAGCUUUGUCUGUAAAACUGUCGCAGAAGAUAUGGCGGAACUUGAAUCUAUUGCUUCUGCAGGAGUCAAGGGUGAGAGAUACGGACCUGAAAUCAGCAAUGGCAAAAUUCUGAAACUCCACCCAUUGUCAACCUGGAAGAGGACAUGAAGACAUAGCUUUGUUGUGGCAAUAAUUCCUUCUAGCUAUUUGCCUGAUGGUGGAUUUCACUAUAUUAAGAGUUGAGUGAUAUGUAUUUGUCCCUAUAAAUUUCGUCAUACUAUUGUCUCCAGGGUUAAGGCAAGUAAAGUUAUAAGAAGAAUGGAGUUUUCUUCAGAAAGGUUGUAAUGAAUAAAGAUCUGGUCAUGUAAAAGCAGAACAUAAUUUUCCUUGCAGUUGAAUGCAUUAAAGGUUAUGUAUUGUACUUUUGAAUGCUAAAGUGGUCCAUUUUUUAUGUGUUACUGCUACGAGAGUUAUAGAUUGUUGGACAUCAUUUUUUGGUUGGAAUGUUUACAUCAAACGUCUCCAAGGACAUGUCAUUCUAAAGUUUAAACUACAUCAUACCACAAAAUGCAGAAAAAGGUCUAAAGUAUGGGAUGUUUGUAAAUUUUCACGGGAGGCUUUGUUGGGUAAAUUGUAAAGGACUAGCAAAUAUUGUAACAAGAAUUGGCUUCAAAUCGUGAUAGAAAUCACUUUCCUUUAGGCUUUAUUUGUCCGGUAUAAAGUGCAAUAACCUUAGACAAAUAUCCUUUAAGAUAAGAUGAAGUUUUGUUUGUCUUAAACUCUUGCACAAAGCAAGACAAACCCUUUGUGAACUAAGGAGUGCUUUUGAGAGAGUAAGGAUAGUAGGAAAGUGAUUUUCUGCAGCAAACUACUCUCUACUUGACCUCUUUAUAUAGGAAGAUUGUUUGGGAAACAAAAGAUCUCAUUAAACACUUGUAUGAAUAGAUUCAAAGUAUUGUGUACACAUUCAUGCACUUUAAUUCAUGCAUCUCAUGAUCAUUUAGAUCAAAACAUGAAUCUAUCCUUUCAUUCAAUAAUUCUCAUAUACAUGAAUACAUUCAUAAAUGAAUGUACUUUUAGAACAUUCACAAUACUAUACAUGUACCAAAAAUUAAUGAAUACAUUAAUUACAUGUAUGUACAUCAUACAAAUUUUGAAAAGUUUCCAACAAUCCCCGCCAUUUUCAAAAUUUAGAAAAUGGAUUUCUAAAAGGUCACCAAGUAAUCUGACACUCAUAUGCAUAAAUAAUGGUGUCUUUCGAUUGAACCACUAUCUUAGUGAAGGUUCUUUGAAAUCAAUCCUUCAAGAUGGUAGACAAGCUUUGAACCACUUGGACAUUGGACCAACCUCAUAAACACAUCACACACUGAGCAAUGCACAACCAUAAGUUCUUCAACGAUACAUUUUACGGCCUUGUAUCACUAUCCUUUCUGAAUGUUUACAAAGUAAAGUCCUUAAUUUGUGGUUUGCCGAAAAAAACAUUCAUAUAGGCGACAUCUUAGUGCCCCGCCAUAGAUAGCACUUUUAAGAUUCGUUAAGAGUCCAAUGACUCAUCCUUACAUUUGCACUGGCGAGAAUAACAUGCACUAUUCAACAUUGGGAUGUCUAAACUUCACAUAGUGCACCAACCACUAGAAUGGUGUACUUUCACUCAUUGAAUUCAAGACUAGACGUUGUAUCUAGCGUUGAAUUGAGGUUCCACCAUUAGUGAUCAAAAUUUUGGACUUUAAACCAUCCCCUUGAUGUCUUUGACACCAAAUUUCUUGAUAAUCCUUUUGUCAAAGGAUCACUUAAAUUUUCAUUUGAUCUCACAAAGUCAAUUGAUAUGACUCCAUUUGUAAUCAAAUCUUUGACAUAACUAUGUCUCAAACCGAUAUGUCUUGAUUUACCAUUAUACACUUGACUAUAUGCUUUAGCAAGUGUAGCUGCACUAUCACAAUGGAUUGAGAUAGGCGACAAAGGUGUUGGCCACAAUGGUAUAUCAUAAAGUAAAUUACGUAGCCAUUCAGCUUCUUUACAGGCCGAAGCAAGUGCUACAAACUCUGCUGCCAUUGUUGAAUCGGUGAUACAAGUCUGUUUCUUAGAACCCCAAGAAAUUGCACCUCCACCAAGCAUAAAGAUCCAACCACUUGUCGACGAGUGAUCAUCUUUAUUGGUGAUCCAACUAGCAUCUGAAAAUCCUUCUAAAACUGAAGGAUAACCGGUAUAACAUAUACCAUAGUCUUAGUGGCCUUUAAAUACUUUAAAAUUUUGGUUACACCUUGCCAAUGUAACCUACUAGGGUUGCUUGUAUAUCUGCUCAAUAUACCAACUGCAUAUGCAAUAUCAGGUUAGUACAAGUCAUUGCAUACAUUAAAUACCCUAUAACCUUGGCAUAUUCCAUUUGAGAUUUUGAUCCCCCUCAUUUUUCACAAAAUUUAUUUUGAAUCCAAUGGUGUUGAGGCUGGAAUACAAUCACUUUGAUUGAAUUUGUUAAGAAUCUUUUCAAUAUAAUGUGUUUGAGACAACAUUAUAUUGUUAUCAUGUUUGAAGAUUCUCAUACCAAGAAUGACAUCUGCCUCACCCAUGUUUUCAUGUCAAAUUUGCUUGAAAGCAAAGUUUUUGUGACUUCAACUUGUUCCAAGUCAGUCCCAAAAAUCAACAUGUCAUCAACAUAUAAACAAAUUAUGACACCUUUGCCAUAUCAAACUUGCUAUAAAUACAUUUAUCAGAUUCAUUUAUUUUGAACCACUAGCAAGAAUAACUUGGUCAAAUUUCUGAUGCCAUUGCUUCGGUACUUGUUUUAGUCCAUAUAAAACUUUACAAGUUUACACACCUUAUGCUCUUGACCAGUAUCACAAACCCUUCGGGUUGCUCCAUAUAUAUUCUUCAUCCAAAUCACCAUUCAAGAAUGCUGUUUUAACAUCCAUUUGGUGAAUGACUAGAUUUUGGAUAGAAGCUAUAGCAAGUAGCACUCUAAUUGUAGCAAUUCUAGCUACUGGUGAAUAUGUGUCAAAAUAGUCCACACCAUACUUUUGUGUAACCUUUGGCAACCAACCUGGCCUUGAACUUAUCAAUAGUUCCGUCGAUCUUCAUUUUCUUCUUAAGAUCCACUUACAACCAAUUGGUUUUGAACCAGGUGGUAAGUCUACUAAUUUCAGGUUUUAUUACCCAUGAUUGAGUCCAUCUCAUCAUUAAUAGCUUCCUUCCAAAAGGGAGCAUCUUGUGAGUUCAUUGCUUCUUCAUAGGUCUUGGGAUCAGCUCAAUAUUGAAGCAAUAUGAGAUUUGGUUGCUCACUGUAUCUCUAGUUCUUCAACUAGAUACAUAUAAAAGUCCGAACCGAAGUCUUUUGAUUUCUAGCUCUUUUGCUCCUUCUCAAUUCAAUGGUUUCAUUUUCACCAUCUUUUGUCAAUUCACUUGAUUUUGGAAUAACAUCUUUUAUAGAGGUGAACCUAUUCUCUUCAAAAAUAGCAUCUCUAGACUCAAUUAUGGUAUUAACCGAAAUUGAAUCAUUAGGUUCAAUUACCAUGAACCUAUAUGCUUUGCUAUUUUGUGCAUAUCUAAAAUAUACACUCCACACCUCUUUCUCCCAAUUUCCUUUUUUGAGGUUCUGGGAGUUUUACAAUAGCUCUACAACCCCAAACUUUCAAAUAGUUUAGGUUGGACUUCCUUUUAUUCCAAAAUUCAUAAGGGGUUAUAGAACUUCUUUUAUUAGAACUCUAUUUAGGAUAUGACAAGCCGUUAACAAGGCUUCACCCAAAAUCCUUGACUUAAACCAGAUUUUGACAAAAGUGCAUUAACCAUUUCUGUCAAUACACGAUUUUUCCUUUCGGCUACACCAUUUUUUGUGGUGUGUAAGGAGCAGUCACCUCAUGUUUUAUCCCAACAGACUCAAAAUAGGUAAUAUCAUAAUAUUCCCCACCUCUAUCUGUUCUUAGACAUUUGAUAAAGGAUUCACAAUGAAGUUCAACUUCUGAUUUGUAUGCCUUAAAUUUUUGCAAAGUUCACUUUUGAGUGUAACAAGAAAACAUGACAGUAUCUACUAUAAUCAUCAAUAAAAGUCACAAAGUACUUUUUACCACCCAAAAUAGGAGUACCAUGCAAAUCACGUACAUCACUAUGAAUCAAAUCAAGAUUUUAGAUGAUCUUUCAACUUUAGAAACGAAUUUCUUGUGAUUUUCGUUAGCAUGCAUGUUUUGUAUUUUCCUUCAAUUUUACAAUAUGGCAGCAAAUCAAGUCUCAUCAUUUCAUGCAUUCUUUUGUAAUUAACAUGACCAAUCCUAUUAUGCCACAAUUUAAAAGAAGACUCAACCAAACGCAGAAAUAAUAUCACUCUUAUUAUUUCUAAUAGCAGUACAUUCAACUUAAACAUCCCAUGCAAAGAUAACCCUUGCCUACAAACAUACCACCUUUAGACAAAAUAAAUUUGUCAGACUCAAAUAUAAGUCUAAAGCCAAAUUUAUUUAACAGCUCAGCCGACACCAAGUUCUUCCUAACUUCCGGUACAUAAAACACAUUUGUCAAGGUUACAACAUUUUCGAAGUAAAUUUUAAUUCUAUUUCUCCAAUGUCUUGAACCGGAAUUGUAGCAGAAUUUUUCAUGUAAACAACGGUGCUUUCAUCCACCGGUUUCAUGGACUUGAAGAACGUUCUAUUGUUGCACACGUGUCGCGUAGCUCCAGAAUCAACCCACCAAGCAAAAUUAUCUUCAAUCAUAUUGAUUUCAGAUAUCAUUGCUACAAGAUUUUGCUUGUGGUUUGGGAAGACUCUUGCUUCUUCUUCUUGUUUUGAAGAAUCUUGCAAUCGGACUUGUAGUGUCCCUCUUUCUUGCAAUAGAAGUAUUGUCCCUUCUUUCUUUUCUUGGAUUGAUUCUUGGGUUGUUGGCCCUUCUUACUUCCUUGAGACUUUUCAGUUUGCCUCUCUUCAAUCACAUGCACUUUUGAAGUAGAAUCUUUGUUCUCUUCAAGGAUUUGACUAUCCUUCUUUUCUUGCAUGCGAAUUUCCUCUUCUACUCGAAGAGAUUUAGCAAAAUCUCAAGAGAGAUAUCAUCUUUUUUGUUUGAGGUCUCUUUUGAAAUCUUUCCAAGAAAGUGGUAACUUAUCUAUUAUAGAGCAAACAAUAAUGGCUUCAUCAUGUGUAGAUUGUGUUGUGUGAGUGAUUAAGAAGCCUUUCAAUCUCACUAAAUUGCUCCAAAACUUAUUAUCUACCAUUUUAUAAUUAUUAAAAGACGAGACAAGAAACUUCUUACUUGUAGCAUCUUCUUGCAUGUACUUGGACUCCAAUCGAUCCCAAAGUUCCUUGGCAGUAGUAAUUGAAUGGUAGACAUCGAACAGGUUGUCACUCAUGGUAUUGAGGAUGUGACCACGGCAUAUUUCAUCGUCGUUCUCCCAUUUCUGACGGUUUCAGAUGUGUUCAAGAGUUUCUUCAUCGGGAUUGAUCAAUGAUUUUGGUGUGAUCAAAACAUAGACCACUUUGAGUGCAGUGAGAAGGAAAUGAACACGUUUUUGCCAACGAACGAAAUUUCCUCCAUCAAACCGCGUGAGCUUGACAAUAUUGGAUGCCAAAUCUUUCAAGGUACCAUCCAUUGUAGAGUAUAAAUAAAGCCUAAAAUUGUUGGGUAAAUUGUAAAGGACUAGCAAAUAUUGUAACAAGAAUUGGCUUCAAAUCGUGAUAGAAAUCACUUUCCUUUAGGCUUUAUUUGUCCGGUAUAACGUGCAAUUACCUUAGACAAAUAUCCUUUAGGAUAAGAUGAAGUUUUGUUUGUUUUAAACUCUUGCACAAAGCAAGACAAACCCUUUGUGAACUAAGAGUGCUUUUGAGAGAGUAAGGAUAGUAGGAAAGUGAUUUUCUACAGCAAACCACUCUCUACUUGACCUCUUUAUAUAGGAAGAUUGUUUGGGAAACAAAAGAUCUCAUUAAACACUUGUAUGAAUAGAUUCAACGUAUUGUGUACACAUUCAUGCACUUUAAUUCAUGCAUCUCAUGAUCAUUUAGAUCAAAACAUGAAUCUAUCCUUUCAUUCAAUAAUUCCCAUAUACAUGAAUACAUUCAUAAAUGAAUGUACUUUUAGGAACAUUCACAAUACUAUACAUGUACCAAAAAUUAAUGAAUAUACAUUAAUUACAUGUAUGUACAUCAUACAAAUUUUGAAAAGUUUCCAACAGGCUUGUGAUAGCAAAAACUUCAGGAGGCUUCUGAAAUUAUCCCUUAAACUAAACUAAAGGAGGUAAGAUUUUAAGCAGAUCUCGGUAAGUUAAAAGGUUAAAACUUUACAUACAAAUAAAUGGUCAAAUUCACUUUAAAUUUGUGGUGUCAUCUUCCACCUUAAACUUUUGUACUAUCCAAGUUCGUUUUAAUUCCUUUGGGAAAAUCAAACAUCAAAUGCUUACCAUUUAUUGAAACAUUACAUCAUCCAUCCAAUUGAAACAAACUCCUACGGAGUUUUUUUUUUUUUUUUUGCUUUAUUUUGUUGUUAGAUAUGAAUUUAUUUCACAUUUGGUUGUCAGAUCUAAAUUUUUUUUUCAAAUUUUAAAUCUAUUUCAACAUAUCUCAUUAUCAUUAUUGAAACUUAAAACCGUUUAUUGGCAAAUCUGGUGAUUGCCAUAUGCACGGAAGGGAUGCACUUUUAAAAUUCUUUAUAUAUAUUUUUUUAGAUUUGUUUGUAAUUUUCAAAUCUAUUGUAUCUGUUAAAUUAUGAUCUGUAAUUUUUAAUGGAUGUUUGGCCUGCCAUUAGGGGAGUUAUGCAAAUCAAAUCAUGUUAGAUGAUUUCCAAAAAAAACUUAAUCGUCAAUUACUCUUUCCCAUUUUAUUUGUCCACUUUUCAAUUGUCAAUAACUCUUUUAAGAAACUUUGUAAUACAAAAAUCAACUGAAACCAGUAGAAUAUUACUUUGUAAUAUUUUUUUUGACAAAAAAAAGUAGAAUAUACAAUUAAUAGCAGUAUUCAUAUUAUGUUUUUGUAUAUUACUUGUACAUCUAAUUAGUCCCAUUUGGAGAAAAAAAAGGAUGAAGACAAAGACAAAAACACAUAAUAGUCACAAAAAACACAGAUCUAGCUCAAAAUAUGGCAGUGACCAAUUGUUCUGCAAAAUUAUUAGGAUAAGCAGUUGACAGAUUCUAUAAUCGCUUUUGGUCAAAUAUUAUUUAAAUUAGCUGGAUGGUCAAAUAUUACUUUUAAUUUUAAUCAUUUAAAUUACCAGUUACUAUCAUCAUUGGAAGAAGCACAUUGAGGGUCUGUUUGGAUUGUGAAUUAUUAGAGAUAUUUUUACUGUAGCACUUUUUAUGAUGUGAUGUAUGUGAGAUAAAAAGGUAAUUGGAAAGGUAAAAAGGUGUAUUGGAAAUUGUAAUAAUGAUGUAAGCAAAUAAAUUUUGAGAAAUAAAGCCCAAUCCAAACAAAGCCUGAAGGAAUGAUACUCUAAGAUGACUACAGAAAUUUUCUAGCUGGUUAUACAACAUAUUAAUAGUUGAAUGUUGACCUCACCAGCCAUCCCUCAUUCCUUGUCGCAUCCUUUUUAUGAAUUGGAUUCAUCUAUUUGGUGUUCUAAAAUCACAUUUAAAAGUUUUUUUUUUUUUGCGAAAGUGUUAUUAUUCAGGAUGUGUAUGAUAAUUUAAAAUUUUAAUAGUGGACCUAAAAAUAAAACUUGUAAAUUUUACAUAUGAGCCUACCUACUUUUAAAAUAGAGGGAAAAAAACAUCACAUAACUUCAAGUCCAAGAUUGUAUGCAGUUUGUCCAAUAAAUAGAUAUUCAUAAUUCAUAAUUUCAUAUACACAUGUUAACUAGAGAUGUCAAUCACAACCCAAUUAUAUUGAUCCGUUCAAAACCGUUCACUAAUAACCCAUCCAAAUUCACUCAUUAAAAUUUAAAUGGGUCUAAGUGAGUACCUAAUUAAAUCCAUUUAAUUGGUGGAUAGUUGAUUGAUUUGACUCACCCAUUUAUAACCAUUUAAAAAAAUAUAUUUUUAAACUCAAUUUUUACUAAGUGUUAAGAAGAUAAAUUUGAAUUUCCUACAAAUCUAAUAACAAUAAAAUAUCAUUUUUCUUGUUAAACGACAUGCAAAAAAUUUUAAAAAAAAUAGAAUUUCAAAUCAGUGUAAAUGGGUAAUUAAGUAUUUUCAUAUCCAUUUAUUAAAUAGAUAUAAAUGGAUUGAUUCAAUUAUAUCUAUUAUCCAAUUAAAAUUUGCUCAAACCUGUACAAGUCACUCAUUUUUAUGCUUCUAAUGUUAAUAUAUAUUCACAAGUGAAGAGUGCAGCAUUGACAAGGAAGAUAUACUUAUUUAUCCCAAUAUUAUAGUCAUUUUUUUCAUUACAAAAGUAUUGAUAAUUUCAUAAUUUCAUCAUCAGUGACAUAACAUUACAUGAAUUUCAACGAAGUAUGUAAUCAGUGACAUGACAUAACAUGUCAUCAUUAGUCUUCAGCGGUGAAUCUUAUCACGAGGCUUCUUUUCGAAGCUUUGAUUAUGGCAUACACUUCUGACAAAUGUCCCUUUUAGAAUAGGGAUAAUUUCUGUGACCAGGCUUUCUUUCAAAGCUUUGAUUAUGGCAUACACUUCUGACAAUGCCCCUUUUAGAAUAGGAUAAUUUCAGAAACCUCCCAGGGUUUGUAACAAUUCAUCGAACUUUUUGAAAUUUUUAAUAUUACACUUAUCUCCCUUUAUGAUAGACAAUAAUUAUAAUAACCUUCAUAAUUUUUUCAAAGACAAGCUAUUGAUAAAAAAGAUAAAAAAAAAUGAAAACAAUUCUUCUUGCUAAGCCUCAUAUUGGACUAAAUUGUUUCACCCAUAACCACUAAAUUGUAAUUUCUAUUACUCAGAAAAGAAGCAUUUUGGUAAUUGAGGGGCUUGGUUGUUUGAGUGGGAAAAGGGUAAGAAUUGUGAAUUUUAUGAUUGACGGUUUGGUAGACAACAUAUGGAAAAAACUUAUAGAGAGGUAAAAAUUAUAAAGAUAAGAAUUAUGAUGAUGGAUUUUGACAUCUAAAAUAUCGAGCUUGUUCGAAAAAAGGAAGAAAUGAUAAGAUCGAGUUUGAAAACUUGGGUAGAUGUAGAAAAUUAUGAGAUGAAAAAUAUUAGGACAUUGUCUAAGUAAUAAAACUCAUAGGUUUAUAGUAUACAAGUGUAUUCUUGAUUUUGAAAAAAUUUUAAUGACUAUUCAUAUUUUGAAAAUUAGAUAAGGGCAAUUUUGGACAUUCAUAUAUUUUUCUGGUCUUACAUCAUCAAGGUGAAACUCAAACCUAUGUUUUAGUAAAUGUAUGUGUAAUUUUCAAAAAGUGAGGAAAGCUGUCUGAAAUUAUCAGAAACCUCAGGGGUGAUUUAUGAAAUUAUCCCUAAUUUUUUUUUUGGUACAAAAAACUCCAAAAUAAUAUGUCCCACACUCUGUGCCACACUCUGUGCCACUUUUUAUUAUAUUGCUAUUUUUCCUACAUAAAUAACAUGUUUUAAUUCUUUUUUGCUUUCUUAAGAUCCAAUAACUAUUAAUUAAGUAAAAAAUAAAUACAACAACUUCAAAAAAGCAAUAUAUAAUAGAAAAUUAAAAAAUACAGCAGAAAAUUCAUAAAAAAUCUCAUUUUUAUAUAUUUUGAUUUUUUGACUUUGUUAAAUUUUGUGUAUUACUCAAUUAAUAGUUAUUGGAUCUUAAGGAAGCAAAAAAGAAUUAAAAUAUGAUGUUUAUGUAGGAGAAAUAGUAAUAUAAUAAAAAAUGGGACAGGCACAUGGUGUGGGACAAAAGGUCCGUUGCACCAAAAAAGUGGCAGUUCAAACUGGAACCAUCUCCUAUUUUCGCAAGUCCUCCCGCCGGCGGCCCUGGGUCAUCUAUAAAAGUAUAGACCAAGACAACACUAAUCCCUCAUCAGUCCACUCCAUACUUCUUCUUCAAGCCUCAGCAACGAAACAAUAAACUCUGCUCCACUCAACUCUUUCCUCUGUGUCUUGUGCUCUUGUCUGAAAAUGGGCGGCGUCAGAAGAAGUGAAAGUGCCAAGAAUCAAGCUGGGGUCGCAAGGUUUUGAAGUUUCAGCUCAAGGGCUGGGCUGCAUGGGCAUGUCAGCCUUCUACGGGCCGCCAAAGCCCGAGCCUGAUAUGAUCAAACUCAUCCACCAUGCUAUUUGCAGAGGAAUCACCCAUCUUGACACCUCCGAUAUCUAUGGACCUCACACCAACGAAAUACUCAUUGGCAAGGUACCAUAUUUGCAAAUUUUCUGCUGUUGUCUGCUAUGCGUAAACUCUUGUAAUUUUAAUUUCUAAAAGAGCAUAUUUUUAAAUAUUUUAUUUAGGUAAAUUAUACUUAAUCCCUUGCACUUCAAAAUUUGUCUCCCUUUGUGCCCCCUUAAUUUUGUUUGUCAGCACUUAAACUCCACUUGUUUAAAUUGUAAGUAUUAUUAGUCAAAUAUGACAUUGUUCUUCUUCAUUUUUUCAUGUUACUGCCUUUUCAGUUUGUCCUCCUUUAUAAAUAUGGGAUGAAUUACUUUGAUUUUGAUUUUGGUGCAAUUUUGUAUAAAAUGAUUUUUGCUAUGAAGUUAUUGAUUUAUUAUGAGCUAUGCGUUGUAUAUUUACACAAAUUCUGCUAGUUAAACAUUCACUUGAGCAGGCCUUCCAAACAUGAGCAAUAUAAUUCUCUAUGGGUGCAUUUGGUAAAAUUGACGAUUGAAAAUUGAAAUCUAAUUUAAAGUCUGAAUCCAUAAAAUUAUUAAUUUGUUAAGUACUAAAUUUGAUACGUUUGAGUGCAUGUCAUGUCAAGUGAUCACAGAAUAACUCAUCACUUAUUUUUUAAAGCAAGUUUUGCUUAAGAAAUUCAGUGCCAUUUAAUUAAUUUAGAUAUUCAAUGUUUAAUUAUCAAACAUAUAUGAAUAUAUUAACAUCUGAAUCUAUUAAUUUUAAGUGCUGAAUUGGGUUAUCAAACAUGACCUAUAAUUAUUAGGUAACCAAGCAGACAACAUGUUUAGUGUAUAAUAGUAAUUAACUUUCAAUUUGUGUCGUUAUUCUUUGGUAAAGAACUCUUAGAAUUAUUAAUAAUAAAUUUCUCAUACACGGGAAUCAAAAUAAUUGAAGUUUUAUCUCUACCAUUGAGAUAUGUUGCCAUCUAAAAGAAAGGAAAGGGAAGGAAACAUGGGGGAAAAUAGGGAAAGGGCAAAGUGAUGAUAAAUAAAAUUGGAAGUAGCAAAAUGAGACAAAUGAAUUAUUGCAAGGGGUUAAGUGUAAAUUAUGUUUAUUUUAUGAGACCAUUUAGGCAGAAAGACUGGACCCUUUUAACGCGCCAAUCAAAAGUUCCAAUUGCUGAAAAUAACAUAAAAACUUGACUUUGUUUGGUUUGGCGUUUUUGGAGGUGGUUCAUGAAAAUUUUAUUGUAGUUUUUUUUUUCAUCUUGAAAAAUAUACUUUUUUCAUCAAUUUAUGGAAAGUUUACAAUUUCUCUGAUAACAGAUGGUAAAAUUUACUUUUUACGAGCACUGAAGUUUUAAAGAUUAUGAAAAGAGAAUUGUAUGAAGGAAUAGAAGGGAAAAGAAGGGUAAGAAAAUGGAUGGAUUGUGUUUGGAUUGAUUUUGGAGGGGCAAGGAGAGGAAACGGAGAGAAAAGGAAAUGGAUGGAUUGUGUUUUGCUCAGACAUCAUUUCCAUACAAAAGUAGAUAGAAACAGAGGGAAAGAAAAUCUUGUUGAUGAUUUUCUAGUAAAAUGCCUCGAGCACCCAAAUUUUACAUAAACUUGCCAUUUGUGAAACCUGCUUUAGAUAUGAAUUGUGGGAUGCAACAGCAGGCUAGGAAUGUUUGACGAAGCAACUUGUGUAGAUAUUUUAUCGUUAAGUAAAGAGAAAAACUAUUCCUUUCAUGUCUGUCGUUCUACCAAACAGCAUAUUAGGUUUUCUUUCUUUCCCAUUCAUAUCUAAUCCAAAUAAGACAAAUGAGAACUAUUUUCUCUACUCUCUUUCCUUUCUUUUUCACUAGCAUGUUUUAUUUAUUUAUUUAUCCUUUCCUUUGAUCCAAAUGGUUCCUAAAAGGCCACUAAUUAUUCUACAUUGACCAGUUCCCUAUUUUUGUAUUAAUUUGCAUGUGCACGAUUCUGUGUAUGUUCAUGUUGUGCAUCAAAUCUUGUGAAUGACAAAGCUAGAGUGUAAAUUUAAGUUGAAGAAAUAUAAAACAAAAAAGAAAAUGGAUUGGCUCCUUUAAGAGUAUCAGACUUCUAAACCCCAAGGAUUACAUAAUUUUCAUAUCCUUUGCGAUACAAAGAAGUGGCAUAGCCUUAACAAUGAAGUGUUGGAAAAACUCCAGAAGGAAUGUGCCCAUCCAUGAAAUCCCAAAUCGGCUUGCUGUACCAUGCAGUAAUGUGUAUGUCCUUGAUGAUUAACAUAAUGAAAUCAUGGUUCUAGGCCUUGAAGGAAGGAAUAAGAGCGAAAGUGGAGCUAGCAACAAAAUUUGCAAUCAGUUAUCAGGAUGAGAAGUUUGAUGUACGUGGUGAUCCAGCCUAUGUGAGGGCUUGUUGUGAAGCGAGUUUGAAGCGGCUUGAUGUGGACUGCAUUGAUCUCUAUUAUCAACAUCGCAUUGAUACACGUGUGCCCAUUGAAGUCACGGUUUGCUCGUCUUGCCUUUCUUGUUUUUUAGCUCCACCUCAUUCUUGAUGAAACAAAAGUUUGAUCAACUCCAAAUUUUGAAUAAUUCAGUUUCAUGUCCGUUUCAAUUCUUCAAAAGUUGCACAGAAAAGUUAGUCAACCUUAUGGUCUCGGCUAAUCUGCAGUAUGGUAUAGCUGAUUUUGCACAAGGCAUCCUGAAAAGUGAAAACAAUGAAUAUGUCUUAUAUUAGCUUUGGCUGUCCUGCUGAGGGAUAUACAGGUGGAAAUCAUGCUAUACAUUGUACAGCUUUCCUUUAGAACCAAGAAACCCGAGCAUUCUCUUUCAAUUGAGAUAGGCUAUCUGGUUGAGUAAUGAUCUGCUAUUUACUUACCUUGUCAACCAUUUUCAGUUGGUGCCUAAAGCACUGCAGAUAGACAUUUAUUAUUGAUAUCUAAAAAACAUGGUACUCAUUUUGUCCAGAGCACAGCUUUUUGUCUAAUUGUCAAAGCCAGCUGCAACUGCCCCAUUGACCUCUCCAGACAAUUCAAAGAUUUCAGCAGCUUGCUUACAUUCAGCUUUUAUGAAACAAUUUCUGUCUUCUUUUUCUCAUGUAAUCAGCAAAGAAUUGUCUUGGUUUCCCUGAGUAUUAGAUAGAAACUUUCUUGCAGUUUAAUCACUCAAAAUACAAGCAAGUAUAAGGAAAUCAAGCAAAAUUGGCAACUGAUAAUUGGUAUGUACGGCCAUUAUUAUAUAUAGAAGUCAACAAUGCCAUGUAAUCAUAUUGGAGGAGCAUUAUGUUGGCAUGGUCCAGUAGAACUAAGUCCUCCGGUGGGCUGUACAUAGAGAACUAUCACUGGAUGCUGAUUGCCAUUUUCAUCAAUUAGUGAUUUCAGUUUGAUGUAUACUUUGUCCACGACAUCGUUGAACUAGUGCAACUUUUACUUUUUGCACGUAAUAUUUCGAUUAUCUGCCUAAGUGUUGAAUGUAAUAAAUCAGCUUAGCAUCUUCUUGUCCAUUGAAAUUCUCUAGAUAGGAGAGCUCAAGAAACUGGUUGAAGAGGGUAAAAUAAAGUAUAUAGGUCUGUCUGAGGCCUCAGCUUCAACAAUUCGAAGAGCACAUGCUGUUCAUCCAAUAACAGCUGUACAGUUGGAGUGGUCAUUGUGACCAGAGAUGUCGAGGAAGAGAUUAUUCCCACUUGCAGGUAGUGCAUAUAUUCUGCUGCAUUUUCUACAUGGUCUAGAAGAAAUAUUAAGUUCUCAAUUCAGUUUUUGGUAUAAUCUUUCAGAGAGCUUGGCAUAGGGAUUGUUGCAUACAGUCCACUUGGACGAGGUUUCUUCUCAUCAGGUCCAAAGCUGAUUGAGAAUUUGGCUGAAGGUGACUACCGAAAGGUUUGUGCAUAUCGAAAAAGAUGGAGUUUUUGAGUAUACAUUGUUUAUAGUUCGAAUAAGUUUCUCACUCAUCUAUUUUUACCACAUUCAGUGGCAAUCAUGCUUGAUAUCAAAAGAGGAAGAAACUAUGUCACUUUUUAAGUAAAAGUCUCUUUACGGUUUUGAAGGGAAAAGGACCUUAGACUUCAAUUUCAUCAUUUAAUCUCAGGCACAGAACUUAUGCUGUCCUGUGAAACUAUCAUUUUUCCUUUACCAUUAAUCCUAAAACUGAGUUUCAUUGGUCAGAAAUAUACUUCAUAGUAGUACCUCCUCUAGCGUUCAUCGUAGUACCUCCAUCGUUCAAACAAACAAAAAUUAGUUGAUUUGUAUUUUAAGUUUCCUCUUUGAUGGGAAAUGUAUCUCAGAACUUAACUCCAACGGUUGAUGCUUCCUCCGUGGAGUAUUCAGUCGAACUUGAUGCAUUGUUCUUUCCCCUGAACUUGUGCCCUUCAAACAGUAUUUCUGAUCAUCUUGAAGUAAUUAGUACCGUCUGUUCAUUACUCCCUCCCGAUUUCUUGCAUUAUAGCUUCCUCUUUAAUGGGAAAUGUAUCUCAGGAUCUACAUUCUACAAUUGAGGUUUCUUAGAGUACUCAGUCCACCUUACUGGAUUGUUCCUUCCCCUGAACUUUGUACACCUUAAACAAUACUAUCGAUCAUUUUGAAGUUAUUCAUAUUGUCUUCAUUUGUAGAUGACACAUGCUUUGCUCCCUUUUGAAUUUCUGGCAUUACAGUUGCUUAAAUUUUGAAAUUCAUACAAUGUAGGAUAUGCCAAGGUUUCAAGCAGAGAAUUUGGAGCAGAACAAGAACUUGUAUGAGCGGGUCAAUGCCAUUGCUUCAAGAAGGGUUGUACUCCAUCACAGCUAGCAUUGGCCUGGGUCCAUCACCAAGGCAAUGAUGUUUGCCCCAUACCUGGCACUACCAAGAUUGAGAACCUCAAUCAGAAUAUAGGAGCUUUGUCUGUAAAACUGUCAGCAGAGGAAAUGGCGGAACUUGAAUCUUUUGCUUCUGCGGGAGUCAAGGGUGAUAGGUAUGGGCCUGGCCUUGGUACUUGGCAAACUUCUGAAACUCCACCUUUGUCAACCUGGAAGAGAACAUGAAGACAUACUUUGUUAUUGCAAUAAUUCCUUCUAGCUAUGUGCCUGAUGGUGGAUUCCACUAUAUUAAGAGUUGAGUGAUAUGUAUUUGUUCCAAUAAAGUUUGACAUACUAUUGUCUCUAGGGUUAAGGCAAGUAAAGUUAUAAGAAGAAUGGAGUUUCUUCAGAGGUUGUAAUGAAUAAAUAUCUGGUCAUGUAAAAGCAGAAUAUAAUUUUCCUUGCAGUUGAAUGCAUUAAAGGUUAUAUAUUGUACUUUUGAAUGCUAUAGUGGUCCAUUUUUUAUGUGCUACUGCUACGAGAGUUAUAGAUUGUCGAACAGCAUUCAAUUCAGGACUUAUUAAACAUAAGCAUAUAAACAUUUUAUGCUCGGAAUAUUUACAUCAAAAGAAACUCCAAGGUCACAUCAUUGUAAAGUGUAAACUACAUCAUAUUAACAAAAAGCAAAAAAAAAAAAAAAAAGGUCUAAAUGAGGAAAAAAAUGUACUAUAGAAGUAGUCAACAAUGUCAUGUAAUCAUUUGAUCCUAAAAUUGAGAUUAAAAUUUAGUUGAUUUGUAUUUUGAGUUUCAUCUUUGAUGGGAAAUGUAUCUCAGAACUCAACUCCAAUAGUUGAUGUUUCCUACUUGGAGUACUCAGUCCACCUUGAUGCAUUGAUCUUUCCCCUGAACUUGUGCCCGUCAAACAAUAUUUCUGAUCAUCUUGAAGUAAUUAGUACCAUCUGUUCAUUACUCCCUUUUGAUUUCUUGCAUUAUAGUUUCCUCUUUAAUGGGAAAUGUAUGUCAAGAUCUACCUUCUACAAUUGAGAUUUCUUAGAGUACUCAGUCCACCUUACUAGAUUGUUCUUUUCCGUGAACUUUGUUCACUUCAAACAUUACUAUGAUCAUCUUGAAGUUAUUCGUAUUGUUGUCUUUUGUAGACGACACAUGCUUUACUAAUUACUGCACUUUGAAUUUCUGCAUUGCAGUUGCUUAAAUUUUGAAAUUCAUACAAUUUAGAAUAUGCCAAGGUUUCAAGUAGAGAAUUUGGAGCACAACAAGAAGUUGUAUGAGCGGGGUCAAUGCCAUUGCUUCAAGGAAGAGUUGUACUCCAUCACAGCAAGCGUUGGCCUGGGUCCAUACCAAGGCAAUGAUGUUUGUCCCAUAACUAGCACUACCAAGAUUGGAAACCUCAAUCAGAAUAUAGGAGCUUUGUCUGUAAAACUGUCAGCAGAAGAUAUGGCUGAACUUGAAUCUAUUGCAUCAGCUAGAGUCAAGGGUGAUAGAUAUGAUCCUGGCCGUAUCAAGGGCAGAGGUUAUGGGAUCUGAUUAUGGGCAACUGAUUAUGGAAUCUAUUCUAUCAUAAUUGCAAAGAUUAUGACUGAAAUUAUGGGAUCUGCUCUAUCAUGUAUAUUAGCUGUAUAUUAGCAUAUGUGUCAUUAAUAUAUCAGAUAGGUAGAUAUAUUCUUACAUAGAAUAGAAUGUACAGAGUUUCUAUUUAAUGGAAAAGAUGCACAAAAGACAGCAUUCAGUCUUUGAUCUAGAAAAUUGUCAUGGUAUCAGAGCUGGUUAUUUGAAUUUCUGUGUCUUUCAAAAUUUGCUGAGUUGUUAUUCUUCUUGGGUUGAUUAUUUUGAUCAAUCAUUUGGUUUCAAGAUAUCAUUUUGGGUCAAUCAUAUUGUGGUUGGCAGCCUUUCUUGUAAUUCAGAUCUUUGUUUUUUUGAAAGUAUGUCUGUGGCAAACUCUUUGGGAAAAACACAUACGGAAUCUUUGUCUAUCAAGUUCAUUGGGAAAAAUUAUGCAGCAUGGGAUUUAGAAUGUUUCUAAAGGCAAAGAGCUUUGGAGUCAUAUUGAUGGGUCUUCUACAGAACCUAGAGAUGGAAAAGAAUUUAGUCAAUGGGAGGCAAAGGAUGCUAGAAUUAUUUCUUGGAUUCUAGCAUCUAUUGAAGCUCAUAUGGUGAAUAAUUUACACUCCUUUAAUACAGCAAAGGAGAUGUAGGAUCAUUUGAAGCGUGUAUAUCAUCAAGAUAAUACAGCAAGAAGAUUUCAACUUGAAUUGGAAAUUAGUAACUACGGCCAAGAUAACCUCUCUAUUAAGCAGUAUUAUUCUGGAUUUUUUAAUUUAUGGAGCGAAUACUCUGGUAUAAUCUAUUCUAAGGUACCAAGCGAAGCCUUAGCUGGUAUUCAAGCAGUUCAUGAAGUUAGUAAGCGUGACCAGUUUCUAAUGAAACUAAAGCUUGAAUUUGAAGCGGUCAGAGCUGGAUUGUUAAAUAGAAAUCCAAUUCCUUCUUUAGAUGUAUGUCUUGGUGACUUGUUGCAAGAAGAACUGAGAAUGGCUACACAAACUAUCAUAGGUGCAUCGAAGGAGAUAUCCGAAGUUGUCAAUAUUGCCUAUGCUGCUCAAGGGAGGAAUCGCGAAAAGGGACAAGUACAGUGCUUAAAAGCAGUCUGUUUGCCAGACACAUGGUGAGCCACAUUUAAAAAUUGGUUUCUAUCAUAAAGCCUAUCAUGUCCGGACAGAAGAUGGACUGUUUUUUAAAUUUUUUAUGAAAGCAAGUGAAAAGUGUUGCAACUCAGGACUUGGAUGGUAAUUCUAAAAUUUAUUAGUGCACCUACCUUUUAACUUUUGGUGUGCUUUUAAGGUAUCAAAUGGGGGAAAAAAAACCAACACCAUAUAACUUCAAAUGCAAGAUGGUACGAAAUUUGUAUCCAUUGACAUGUAAAAAGUGCACCGUUCAUCACAAAGAUAUUUAUCCUAAUAUUUAGAUUCAUUUUUUCAAAAAUUUCAACUUUGCAUGCAAACAUGUAAUCAAUAUGCAUAAAUAGAUAGCAUUAGAUGAAUUUAAACAAGUAGCCUUCAAAUUUAAAAUAUAUUGAUUUCAUAAAGGUGCAUUCGCAAUUUAGAAAAGGACUUUUCAAAUGGCAAAUCUAGAGAGCAAUAAAUACUCCUACUUUAUUUUGAUUUCAAAUCUUAUUUUGACUUGUCAAAAAAGUGAAACACGAAACCAAUAAUGGUCGAUACAAGGCUAAUUACUCAGAAUAUCGAUGUAAAAAUAUUGGACAUAUAUGAUUUUGACAAUGGGCAUGUAUAAAACUAUUGCUGUAAGGUUGUGUCAGCCCGGCAGCAAAAGAGGGUUUUUUUUAAAGCCUGCCAUUGCCACCGAGCUGACACGGCUCGGCAGCAAUAGUUUAAUUUUUUUUAAACGCUGCCGGGCCUUGUCAGCCAGAUAGAACAAAAAAAAAAAAUUUUUUUUAAACACAGCCGGCAGCGGGCAACAUUUGCAAAAAACUUUAAAAAGCUGGCUGCCGGGCUACGACAGUUCAAAAGAUUUUGCUAUCCGCCUACAACACCAGGUGAUAAAGAUAAGGGCAAAGGCGUACCGGGCAUUGAUAUGAUCAUUUCCGGUGCAUGUUUUAAAAUUUCAAAUAUUUGAAUAUGGGGAUUUAGCGUUAUUUUAAUCUUUUAUUAUUAUAAUGCUUGUCGUUAUUUUUAAAUUUCACAAUUUCAGCAUGUCAUGUUGCAUUUUUCCUUCUUUUUUUUUUUGCCUAUUUUGUUUUUAUAUUGCACAAUAACUUUAUAUUUAUAAAAUUAUAUUGUACAUUAAAAAUUACAUAAUAAUUUUAACAAACAAUUUUCCGGUACAAUUUGAAAACUGCAUCUUAUUGUAAAAUGAAAGAGAUUUUUUGUUUAAAAAAACCUUUUUUUAGUUUUUUACCUAUCGGAGUAAUUAUUAAUUUUACAAAUCUGUUUUCAUCUUUUUCUUACGUUCCAACUUUGAAACGUAAUUUAAUUAACUUAAAAGACUGUCGGGUUUAGUAUGUCAGGUAUCACACUUGUUGUAAUUAAAAAAAAUUUUCUUCUUAUUUUUUCAUUUUUUUGUUUUUAUAUUGCAAAAUAAAUUUAUACAUUUUUUCGAUUUUUCUAUACAAUUUAUAACAAAAAAAAAUAAUAUCAAAUAUUAUACAUUGUAAUUUUAACAAUUAUUUUGCAACGGUUUAAAAAACCUUUUUUAGUUUAACAUCCUAUAUAUUUUACGAAAAUGAUUUGAAUAUUUUUUAAUCAUUUAAAGAAAAGAUAGAUUUCUACAAUUACUAUUUUUUAAAUUUUAAUCCUUAAGAUAAAGAUUUUUGCGGGAAAGAUGAAGAUUUAAAGAAACAAUAAAGAGGCAAAGAAAAUAAAAGAGAAAAAUAGGAGAGGUAAUUUUGUCCAAUGGAGGAUAUAAUGAGACAGAAAAAUUCCGAUGAGGAUAAAGUAAAAAAAGAGAUAUAUUUUAAGGACAUUAAUUGUGAUUAACCCUAUUUCUUAUGCUCAAUUUGUAACUGGUCCAAAGCAUCAAAAGUAGCGUCCGCCUCCCAGGUGAUGAAUUCAUGGUCUUGAAUGUCCAAUAACCUAAGAAGAGUAAAAAGAUCACUUUAAAGUUGCUCCACACCCUACAAAUGCUUCUGAUACUAACUUUCUCGUCAUAUUAACAAAUGCUCCGCACCUUAAUGCUUCAGCACCCGUAAAAAACGUGUUUUUGCAACUGGUCCAAGAGUUGAACCCUUCGCUCAGAGUUACUUCUGGAUGUUGAAAAAAAACAUUUCGAUCACUUGAAUCUAACCUCCGCGUCUAAUCAAGCCAGAAGGCCAGCUUUUUUUUCACUGACCCUUCACGUGAACCUUCUGAGAACUUAUCUCAAGGGAAACUUUUAGUGGUUCAGUAGAAUUUUUUUUAAUCCUCUUACAUGUUUCAUUCGUAUCUCUCUACUUCAUGUCCGUGCAUUGUUGAAUUCUGAAGUGCAGGUCUUCUUUCGCCCGUAUUGUUAACCUUCUUUUUCAUGUUCAUUGAAGCACAGCAUUCUUUUUUUUUGAAAUUUUUUUUAAAAUUGGACUAGCUGCUGGACUGAGCUUUUUAAAGUUUUUUGCAGAUGUGCGUCAGCCCGGCAGCCAGCGAAUUAAGAAAAAAAAAAUUUUUUUGAGGCCGGCAGCGUUUAAAAAAAAAAAACUAUUGCUACCGGGCAAGCUUUAAAAAAAAAAAAAAAACCCUAACAGCAAUAUUUUUAUACAUGCCCAUUGUCAGAACCAUAUAUGUCCAAUUUUUUUUUCAUCGAUAUUCUGAGUAAUUAGCUGAGAUAGAGAGGAGUAUUAGAAAUUUGUUUUCUAGAUUCUUUGGUCUCCCAAUUUUUUCAACGGUCAACUCCGAUCAUUAUUAUCACAGUCAUGUGAUUGUAGGUCUACCACGCUUCAUAGUCCACAACGUGGAUUGGCACCACAAAGGAUGGUUUCAAAACACCAUUUUAGUCUAGUAAGGAUUGUGUAUAUAACACAAGUCUUUUUAGGUUUUCCCUCCCCUGUAAUCUAAAAUAAAAUAAAUAGGUUAUACAAUUGUUAUAGUCUUCAGAAAAAAAGGAUAGGUCCCACCCUAUUAUUAUUAUUUUUCUUUUAUAAUCAACAACGCCUAUUCUACACCUAUUUCAACUUCUAUUCUAGGGGAACGGGAGUUCAACUGAAAAAUUAAUGGUGAUUGAACCACGAACGGACCAAAAACUUUCAAGAUAAAAUUUGAUCUAAAAAUAAAUAAUAAUAUAUUAACUUAUUAUUUAAUGCGAUACAUAUUCAAAUAUAUUAAAUUUAAUAAUUUAAUAAAUUUUAAAUUUUACAUUUUAAAUUUUAAUUUUCAACCUUCAAUGUUGCCGUACUUACAACAACAACUUCUAGAUGGUCAACACUUAGAGUCGUAGCCCUUGCUUUUGGCAUACCCUAGUCCCUAUUUCUGUUGUUAUCAAUGAGGAAGCAAAUGUCUGCUAUUAAUUACACGAGACAUCAGUAGGUUUGUUUGGAUUGGAGGUUAUUUGAAAUAUUUUUUGAGAUAAUUAAUGUAGUACUUUUUGUGAUGUAAUGUAUAUAAGAUAAAAUUGUGAUUGGAAAUUGUGUGGAUGCAAAACAAAAUUUUGAAAUUUUUUUUUGAAAACCUUAAUAUUAUUGGCUGCACUACAAAUCAGUCAAAACUCAAGAGAUGAUAUUAAUUGAAACAAGUGGGCAAAUUGAACGAGGAUGCGUAAUUGACAUGGAAGUCUUGGUAGACUUGGAGGUAGGCUUGUCAACGGAUUGGGUCUGGGUCGGAAUUCAUUAUUCUGGACCCGGAUCCGACAUACUAUAUUGGACUCGGAUUCGACCCAUUUAUUCGACGGGCCUUCUACUCUAUAUUCUGAAUCCGGAUCCGACGGGUCUCGGAUUCGGGUCGAGUCUACCCGAAAAAAUCUAUCAAAACUUACAAAUUCUAAUAAAAAUGAGAAAAAAAUAUAUUUGUAAACCAAUUUUUAACUAAUAAAAAAAAUCAAAUAAGAAAAAAAAUCAAAUUGACUUUACUCAAAUACAUCACCCUAAUCAAAUUAUAUUGAUAAAUAUAUAUAUAUUUAAAUUGUUAAUCCAUUUAUAUCCGAAUCCGGGUCUAAUACGGGUCGAAAUAUUAUAUUCCGUAUUCGACCCGUUUUUUGUUUGAUAAAACGGAUCCGGAUCCGGGGUCCGAGUAAUGGAAUUAAAUCCCUACUCGUACCCACAAUAAUUUGACGGAUUCGAUCCGGAUCCGGAUCUAGACUCGAACUGUUGACAGGCCUACUUGGAGGGAUCAACAUUUGAAUCUGACUUGGAUGAGGUAAGCACAAAGGUAAGCAUUUUCCAUUUUUAUUUUGGUUUUCAUUUCUUGUAUACUUUAAAACGUUUUUCAUUCUACCUCACUCACAUAUAAUAUAUAAUGAAAUGUAAAUUUUUUAUGAAAACAUAUAAAAUAUAUAAAAUGAAAAAUAAAUUUUUAUAAAAACAUAUGUUUAUAUUUUUCUUUGUAUAAUGAAAAUUUAUAAUUCAUUCUACCAAUAUAUACGCAUAUAUAUAUAUAUAUAUAUAUGUAUAAUGAAAAAUAAAUUUCUUCUUCAUCUUUAGGGCUGCACCUACAAACAACAAAACUCAGCUCCACUCAACUCUUUCCUUCAUGUUUUUUAUAAAAAACAUAUAUAUAUAUAUAUAUAUAUAUAUAUAUAUAUAUAUAUAUAUAUAUAUAUAUUAAGUUACACUAAUUGUUUUAUCUCUUAAUAAUUUUUAUUUUUUUUACUAAUAUUACCUCAUGAGAGGCAAAAAGGGUAUAAAUGGAACAAAAUUAUUAUCUCAUUUUCCAAAAGAAUUUUUUAAUGGUACUUUUUCUAACAUGGGUUGAAGCUACUAUCAAAAUCUAGUUUAGGGAAAGUUAGUGCUAUUUUUUAAAUUUUAGGGUAGAUGAGUACAACUGUUAGAAACCUCAAAAAGGGAUGGUUUCUGCAAUUAUCCCUAAAAGCAUAGACCAAGACUACACUAAACACUAAAAAUUUGACACCUAUUUCUUAUAACUAUACUAGAUAAUCUCAUAAUUAUAUAGAAAAAUAAAUCAAAAUUCAUUACACAAAAGCAUUUUUGGAUAUUUAUUUAAGAAUUUGAUCAAAUUAAUAUUAUUUUAAAGUUUUAUUACAAAAACUAUCAAAUUAAAGGAGGUAGGGGUAAUGUUUCAAACCUCACAGUGAAAUUGUUAGAAACCUCAAAGAGGUUCUUGAUAUUAUCCCUAAUUUUUUUGGGUACAAAAACCUCCAAAAAAGUGGCAGUUCAAACGGGGCCAACAUUCUCCUAUCAUCACAAGUCCUCCCGCUGACCCACUAGCCGCCGGCGGCCCUGGGUCAUCUAUUAAAGGCUUAAAGCAUAGACCAAGACUGCAGUAAUCCCUCAUAUACACAUGUUAACUAGAGGGGUCAAUCACAACCCAAUUAUAUUGAUCUGUUCAAACCCGUUCACUAAUAAUCCUUUCAAAUUCGCCCAUUAAAAUUUAAAUGGGUCUAAGUGAGUACCUAAUUAAACCCAUUUAAUUGAUGGAUAGUUGAUUGAUUCAACUCACCCAUUUAUACCCAUUUAAAAAUAAAUAUAUGACAGGGUGUCGAGCCUGUGCAAUAAUAAUUAUCUACUCAAGAAAAACACAAAUUCUGUAUAUAGCAGUGAGUAGAGUCGAAUCCACACGGACUGUAGAUAAUUCGUUUCUUUUAGAGUCCAAAGUAUGGGGGUUUUGGAGAAUAUAAAAUAACUAAUUAACUAACUAAUAAAACAACUAAUAGAAAUAAAUAGAAAUUAAUCAAUAACCAAUAUGACUCUAGCCAAAGGUGCAACUUUUCAGACACGGUCCAUUCAACUGAUCAUCGAUGCAAAGAUAAUUCAAUUACUCAUUACUAGAUUGGUUAUAAUUGUCAUACACGCGAUGAACAACCAGCCUUUUCUUAAUUUCUCGAUAGUUAAAGUACGACCGUUAACUAUUUCUCUAACCAAGUAAUAACCCUAGGUACGACCAUAGGAUUUAAUUACUCGAUUACAUUAAUAAUUAGAAAAACCCAACCCUAACCAACAAACACGCUACGAGGGUUUGUUUAAAUUAGAUCAUACGUUUCCCUAACAUGAAACCAAUCACGCUAGUCGCCACUGGUAUUAAUCAAUUGAACAAUUACGGAUUCAAUCAAUUAAUUUAGCAUUAGAUCAUUAAGUUAAUUUGAAUAUCGGGCCCUUGACAUUCAAAUAACAUAACAAACAUAAGCAAUUAAAUCAGGAAACGUAAAAAUACCAAUGAAUAAAAGAAAUAAAUAAAAUUAAUUCGAUCUCACAGAUAUUUGGAACCGCGCCUUCAAAUUGGCCUUCGACUAGAUGAAAGGUUUAGUUCAUCUACAUGGAGGAAACCCCAUGUGAAAUUGCAGAAGUAAUUAUUCUAAAACAAAGCUAUGUUUUCGUCCUCCAUUGAAGAAAACGGCAAAGCUAUAUAUAAAGUAAUGAAUACGAAGGAACUACCUAGAAGCAAAAACAAAACGAAGCUCUCCUAUUCUAAAACAAAAACUACUUGUCUAGUGGUCCCCGCCGAAUUUAGAUAAAAGGGUGCAAUCCGUCAGAUCAAGCUUUGCCGACUUUUUCUCCUCUUUGUUGCCUAUUGCUAGGCAAAGACUUCAGUGCCCAGACCAUUCCUAAUCAGUGAAAAGAAAAUGCACUCCCUCUGCCGCACUCUGUGGGCCAGGUUGUUGAAGCUCUUUGGAGUCUCCUAUGUGUGGAGCUGUUUUAUCCUUCAGAUGGUCUCGCUCUUUUUUUUCUUUUUAUUUUCUUUUGUGUACUUUUCUGCUCCAUUCCUGAAAUGAGAUCCAAAUACCAAAUAUAAAUAUAUAUUAACAAUUAAACAAUAUUUAGUAAGGACAGAGGGGAAAUUAAUAAUAAAAUAAUCAAUAAUUAACACCCUAUCAAUUCCCCCCACACCUAAAUCAUACUUGCCCUCAAGCAUGGGGACGACAAAUAACACCAAAAUUUGAAAAUGGGUAUUGCCCCAUCUACCCUAUUGUCAAGAUACCAAGGAAAACAUCUAUCAAGCAUCAGUGAUCAGGGUUCAAGAAACAUCACCCCAAUUAGCUUCUAAACCACAAACUCCUCCAAUUUAAGACAAACUAAUCUAAGAAAAAGGAAUGGUUGCUCACAUUUAUCAACAAAUGGUCCAACUAUUAACUAAAAUCUCGAUAUUAAGAUCACAAACCGGCAAGCUGACUUAUUCACAUACUAACACAAUCUUUACUUUACUUCUUUUUUUUUUUUUUUUGAAUAACAAAAGACUUAGUCUAUAGCCCUUAGAGCCUUUUGACGCGAACUCCAACAUUUGCCAGAUGGAGAAGCCCGGUUUCUCAGCUCCAAUCGCUACGGGACCACGCACUCAUAGUAACUACUACCUUUUGAGGCGAAAAUCGACACUUUAGGUCAAGAUCCCCGAUCACUCAGUAGUAACCACUAGCGGAGUACAGUCAACUCUUAUUUACAACCAUAUAGCACGAUAACUAAAAAUAACAGCAGGCAGCCUCAAAUUUCCAAACAUGGAGAACUAAAAUUAAUAACUGGACCAAUUCACAUGAAAAAUGCCAACAAUCAUUCCCUAUGCCUAGAAAAGUUAACCAAAAAUUAGAAAAGUCAAGCAAUUACUGAUAUUCACAUGAAAAGUCAAGCAGAAGUAAGCAAAAGAGCAACUGUACUUCCCUGAAAUCACGGGGGGCAUGGCGGGGCCACAGCAGUGGGUGAGGCCGGAAAUGGUUGAUUUGGGUUGGGGUAGGCUAAGGUCGAGAGGUUCCGGACCUAGAAGAGGACUUUGAUCUCACCAUCGUCGCUAACAGGUAACCCAAUCAACAGAAACAAAAUUGCCAACAGAUAGAGGAACAAGUAAAUCUAGAUCAAUAGAAAUCAAUAUCCUCAAGUGAAGUCAACAAUCAACCCAAUAAGCACAGGUAUCUUCCAAUUUAAAAGGGUAGUGCACAAUAAAUGGCCCACCAAAUUUGCAAUGUAAAGCCCUGAGCAAUUCAAUCAAUACCAGAAAAUCGCCCCAAACAAUGUAACAGUUAAACUCCAUGGGCCAUGGACGUCCAACCAAUUUCACUCGAACAAACUAUGAGCAGUGCGAGUGACGAAACAAAGCAACAAAUUUCAGCAAUUAGACACAAUUCCACUCAAAAUCUCAACAAAUAUCUCCAAUGGACAGUCUUACACAACUUAACCAACUGGAAUUAGCAAAUAUCCCCAAGAAACUGACAAAACAAGCAAUAGUAGUUCAAAAUUUGGACUACAACUAAAUCAAAAUGUUGUUUCAGUUUUCAAUCAGGUAGCCAACCAAGUAGAAUCAAUAAAUGUAGACAAAAUACCCCAACCAGUACCACUGGUGUAUUCCACAGAAAAGAAUUAAUUCAAAUGCCAAUCCAAACGACUGAGAAACCCUAACCAAGACCAAACCGUACCAGAAAUUAGAAGAAAUGAAAAUGGGAAUCAAUUGGCAAGCAACUCCCAAAUCAACCCCAAAGAACUCCCAAAUAAAUGAAUUAUCAGAGGUGCCUUCAAAAACCAAAUACCAAAAAUGCAUAAAAACUCCCAACCAAUUCAACGGGAAAAACAAAAUUAAGCAAAUCACCUCCUGUGUUUAUCCAUCAAGGAACAACCCAAAAGCACAAAUUCCAGUAACUGAGGAUUCAGGAAAAAUGCCAAAACAAGGGUAGAAAGUUAAUACCUCCACCUGUCAAUUUUGACAGGUAGUGAUGCGCGGCAAGGAGGUGGCGCACGAGGUGGUGGCGAGCUUUGGAAGAUGAGUUGGCGAUAGAGGCUGUCAGCUACGCGUGCGACUGUGCGCACAAUGGGAGGAGAGAGGCGCGGCGAGCUGGUGGACAGCAGCAGCGGCACGGGCUGGUGGCAGUGGCUGUGGAGCGUGGGCAGGCGGCGGUGCGCAGCUGGUCAACGAAGGAGGAGAUGGGCGGCGCUCGGGCUAAGGAGAGAGUGAUUUGGGGGCUGUGGCGGCGUGGGGUGGAGUUGCGGCGGCGGUCAAAGGCACUGGUGAGUGGAGGUGGCGGGAUGGAGCUUGGAACGGAGGAGCUCAGCGAGCUGUGGGUGGACGGCCGUGGGCAGGGGAGCAGCGGCGGCCUUUGGAGCUGCUGAAGGUGGUCCGUGAGGUGGAGCUUGGAGCUCGGAGGCGGCGGCGAUGGAAGCUAGUCAGCGGCGUGCGGCAAUGGAUGAGAAAGGGAGACUGGUGGCGUCGGGCUAAGGAGAGAGUAAGGGAGAUGAUGGCGGAUGAGCGAAAGAAAAGAAGGAAAGGGAUACAGGGCAGCGAGGAAGAAGAGGAAGAAAAGGGAAAGAAAGGAAAGAAAAAAGAGAAGAAAAAGGAAAAAGAAAAGAGAGAAAGAAAAAAAGAAAAUAAAAUGGUUUUGGGGUUUUUUUUCAAUAUUUUUUUUUCAAUUUUUUCCCUAAUUUAAAUUUUCAAAAUUUGAAUUUUUGAAGAAAAAAAGAAAGAAAAAUGCUCUUUGAAUUUUUGAAUUUUCUCAAUGUGAAAUUUUAAAUUUUUUUUUGGUUUUGGAUCGUCAAACACCGCGUGAGCACGCCAAGAUUACACUUCCUGGUCACAGUAGAGGAAAAUAUUAAGACGACUACCACCCAAAUGAGAAAUGACAAAAUGAAAGUAAUGAACAAUGAAAAACGAUAAAACUAAUAUUUGGGUUGCCUCCCAAAAAGCGCCUUUCUUUUAUGUCUUUGGCCAGACAUUGCCAUAUUUGUUUAGGGAGGAUAAAAUCUUGUACCUCGGUUUAAUGUUUCAUCCUCUAUAUAGUCCUGAUAACCCUCGUAAAUAGAGUAAUUCUUGAACACAUGAGCUACGGUCUUCCCUGGACUAGUAAAUGGUGCCAAACAAGUCAACAAUAAGUUGAAUUUUCCAUUCACUCCUCCAUCACUUGCAUUUAUUGGUUUAAGAUAUCUUGCCAUCGCCACUCUUAAUUUAUUUCUGUCAUGAAAUUCGAAAUUUUCUGAUAUAAUAAAAUCAAUUUCAUUAACAGGAAUUGAAGAAUAAGAGUUAGAAGAAUAUUGAUGAAGGAAUGCGAUGUCACCGCAUUUGAAGAUUGUUCACUGGUUUCAUUCACUUGAACGAGUUGAUACUGGGGCAUUAUUUCUUGCACUUCACCUUUUUUUUCAACUGCAUCUUUAGAUCCGUUUUCUUGAAACUCUUGCAGUUCCAUGUCAUUUGACGGGAUAACUGCACUCUCAUCCUCUUCAAGGUUGAUAUUGGUUUGUGAGGGCAAUUCUUCAAGGUGAGAAGCUAAUCGCUCUAUCCUGGAUGUCAAUUGAUUCAUUUGAUCCGCCGGAUCCCUAAUGCUCGCUUGUGUCUCCUGAUGAAAUCGAUAUGUAUUAGUAGCAAAUAAUUCAAUCAAUUCCUGAAGAGACAUACCUGACAUGGAUGAUGGCUGUUGAGAUUCUUGCUGUUGAAAAUCCAUUGGCCCGGUCGCAUAAUUAAAAUUGGAAUCAUCCCACCAUCCUUGAUCAUACCCGUUUGAAUAAGGAUCGUACCACGUUUGAAAUCGAGGUGAAAAAUCUCCAAAAGUAUCAAUUGGAGCACUUAGAUUAUCUUGAAAUGCGGGGCAUGUGUCGGUUGAGUAACCUGAGUCAAAAUAAGUUCCACAAUUUGCAACAGUCCAUUGACCAUUAGGAAAAACUCGAGUCUCAUAACCUCAUUCGGGAAUAAAGUCCAGUCUAUCAUCAAAAUAUGGAAUGUUAGCUACCAUAAACUAUAUAUAACAAAAAAGAGAAAAAAAAAAAACAAGAUGAACUAAAAAAAAACAAAUUAAUUAGGCACCAGUCCCCGGCAAUGGCGCCAAAAAUUGACAGGGUGUCGAGCCUGUGCAAUAAUAAUUACCUACUCAAGAAAAACAUAAAUUCUGUAUAUAGCGGUGAGCAGGGUCGAAUCCACAGGGAUUGGAGAUAAUUCGUUUCUUUUAGAGUCCAAAGUAUGGGGGGGGAGUUUUUUGGAGAAUAUAAAAUAACUAAUUAACUAACUAAUAAAACAACUAAUAGAAAUAAAUAGAAAUUAAUCAAUUACCAAUAUGACUCUAGUCAAAAGUGCAACUUUUCAGAUACGGUCCAUUCAACUGAUCAUCGAUGCAAAGAUAAUUCAAUUACUCAUUACUAGAUUGGUUAUAGUUGUCAUACACGUGAUGAACAACCAGCCUUUUCUUAAUUUCUCGAUAGUUAAGGUACGACCGUUAACUAUUUUUCUAACCAAGUAAUAACCCUAGGUACGACCAUAGGAUUUAAUUACUCGAUUGCGUUAAUAAUUAGAAAAGCCCAACUCUAACCAACAAACACGCUACGAGGGUUUGUUUAAGUUAGAUCAUACGUUUCCCUAACAUGAAACCAAUCACGCUAGUCGCCACUGGUAUUAAUCAAUUGAACAAUUACGGAUUCAAUCAAUUAAUUUAGAAUUAGAUCAUUAAGUUAAUUCGAAUAUCGGGCCCUUGACAUUCAAAUAACAUAACAAACAUAAGCAAUUAAAUCAGGAAACGUACAAAUACCAAUGAAUAAAAGAAAUAAAUAAAAUUAAUUCGAUCUCACAGAUAUUUGGAACCGCGUCUUCAAAUUGACUUUCGACUAGAUAAAAGGCUUAGUUCAUCUACAUGGAGGAAACUCCAUGCGAAAUUGUAUAAGUAAUUAUUCUAAACAAAGCUAUGUUUUCGUCCUCCAUAGAAGAAAACGGCAAAGCUAUAUAUAAAGUAAUGAAUACGAAGGAACUACCUAGAAGCAAAAACAAAACGAAGCUCUCCUAUUCUAAAACAAAAACUACUUGUCUAGUGGUCCCCGCCGAAUUUAGAUAAAAAGGUGCAAUCUGUCAGAUCAAGCUCUGCCGACUUUUUCUCCUCUUAGUUGCCUAUUGCUAGGCAAAGACUUCAGUGCCCAGACCAUUCCUAAUCAGUGGAAAGAAAAUGCACUCCCUCUGCUGCACUCUGUGGGCUAGGUUGUUGAAGCUCUUUGGAGUCUCCCAUGUGUGGAGCUGUUUUAUCCUUCAGAUGGUCUCCCUCUUUUUUUUCUUUUUAUUUUCUUUUGUAUACUUUUCUGCUCCAUUCCUGAAAUGAGAUUCAAAUACUAAAUAUAAAUAUAUAUUAACAAUUAAACAAUAUUUAGUAAGGAUAGAGAGAAAAUUAAUAAUAAAAUAAUCAAUAAUUAACACCCUAUCAAUAUACAUUUAAGCUCAAUUUUUACUAAGUGUUAAGAUGAUAAAUUUGAAUUUCCUAUGACUCUAAUAACAAUAAAAUAUCAUUUUUCUUGUCAAACAACAUGCAAAAAACAAAAAAAGGUAGAAUUUCAAAUUAAUCAUAAAUGGGUAAUUGAGUAUUCUCAUGUCUAUUUGUUAAAUUGAUAUAAAUGAAUUGAUUCAAUUAUAACUAUUACUCAACUAGAAUCCGCUCAAACCCGUUUAAGUUAAUCAUUUUGACACCCCUAAUGUUAAUAUAUAUUGACAAGUGAAAAGUGCAGCAUUUAUCACGAAGAUAUACUUAUUUAUUUUAAUAUUAAAGUCAUUUUUUCAUUACAAAAAUAUUGAUAAUUUCAUAAUUUCAUGGAAGUAUGUAACCAGUGACAUAACAUAGUCGCCAGUGGCGAAUCUUGUCACGAGCCUUCUUUUCAACGCUUUGAUUAUGGCAUACACCUUUAACAAUAUGCCCCCACGUUGUCUUUCGAUCACUUUUUUUUUUUUUUUUAACCUCACAUUCGUUCGUUAUGUAUGUAUAAUUUCUUUACAAAAAAGUGAAAAACUCCAAAAACGUGGCAGCUCAAACGGGGCCAACAAUCUACUAUGUUCGCCUGUUCUCCCCGGACCCACCAGCCGCGGCGGCCAUGGGUCAUCUAUAAAAGCAUAGAUCAAGACUACACUAAUCCCUCAUCAGUCCAAUCCAUCCAUACUUCUUCUUCAGGCCUCAGCUACUAAACAAUAAACUCUGCUCCACUCAAUUCUUUCCUCUGUUUCUUGUGGUUUUUGUCUGAAAAUGGCGGCAUCAGAAGAAGUGAAAGUGCCAAGAAUCAAGCUGGGGUCGCAAGGUUUUGAAGUUUCAGCUCAAGGGCUGGGCUGCAUGGGCAUGUCAGCCUUCUACGGGCCGCCAAAGCCCGAGCCUGAUAUGAUCAAACUCAUUCACCAUGCUAUUAGCAGAGGCAUCACCCAUCUUGACACCUCCGAUAUGUAUGGACCUCACACCAACGAAAUACUCAUUGGCAAGGUACCGUAUUUGCAAAUUUUCUGCUGUUGUGUGCUAUGCAUAAACUCUUGUACUUCUAAUUUCUAAAAGAGCAUAUUUGUAAGUAUUUUAUUUGGGUAUAUUAUAUUUAACCCCCUGCACUUGAAAUCUUUGUCUCCCUUUGUGCCCCUUAAUUUUGUUUGUCAGCACUUAAACUCCAUCUGUUUAAAUUAUAAGUAUUAUUAGUCAAAUAAGACAAUAAUAUUCUUCAUUUCUUCUUCUUCUUCUUCUUCUUCUUCAUUUUUCAGAUGUUUGUCCUCAAUUGUAAGAGAAGGUCGUAGGUCUAGCACAUACGUUGAGUAGCUGUAUCCGAUUAGAAGGAUUUAGAUCAUAAUGGAGUUGGUAAAAUAGUACUAUUUUCGUCUUUGAAGUUAAAAUUGUCAUCAAUUUAUGGAAAGUUUACUAUUUCUCUGAUAAGAGAUGGUAAAAUUUACUUUUUACGAGCACUAAAGUUUUAAAGAUUAUGAAAAGAGAAUUGUACGAAUGAAUAUAAGGGAAAAGAAAGGUAAGAAAUAUGGAUUGUGUUUGGAUUGAUUUUGGGAGGGGCAAGGAGAGGAAAGGGAAAGAAAAGGAAAUGGAUGGAUUGUGUUUUGCUCAGACAUCAUUUCCAUACAAAAGUAGACGGAAACAGAGGGAAAGAAAAUCUAGUUGAUGAUUUUCUUAUAAAAUGCCUCAAGCACCCAAAUUUUACAUAAACUUGAGUAACCAUGUGUUUCAUAUCUGUAGAACUUGCCAUUUGUGAAACCUGCUUUAGAUAUGAAUUGUGGGAUGCAACAGCAGGCUAGGAAUGUUUGACUAAGCAACUUAUGUAAAUAUUUUAUCGUUAAGUGAAGUUCCUCUUUUGCUGUUCAAAAAAAAAAAAAAAAAAGAGAGAGAAAAACCAUUCCUUUAAUGUCUGUCAUUCUACCAAACAGCAGAUUUAGGUUUUCUUUUUUCCCAUCCAUAUCUAAUCCAAAUAAGGCAAAUGAGAACUAUUUUCCACUACUCUCCUUUCCUUUCUUUUUCACUAGGAUUUUUAUUUAUUCUUUCCUUUGAUCCUAAUGGUUCCUAAAAGGGCACUAAUUAUUCUACAUUGAUCGUUCCCCAUAUUUGUAUUAAUGUGCAUGUUCACGAUUCUGUGUACGUUCAUGUUGUGCAUCAAAUCUUGUGACAAAGCUAGAUUGUAAAUUUAAGUUGAAGAAACAUAAAAGAAAAAAGAAAAUGGAUUGGCUCCUUUAAGAGUAUCAGACUUCUAAACCCCAAGGAUUACAUAAUUUUCAUAUCCUUUGCUAUACAAAGAAGUGGCAUAGCCUUAACAAUGAAGUGCUGGAAAAACUCCAGAAGGACUGUGCCAUCCAUGAAAUCACAAUUCCGCUUGCUAUACCAUGCAUUAAUGUGUAUGCCCUUGAUGAUUAAUAUAAUGAAAUCAUGGUUCUAGGCCUUGAAGGAAGGAAUAAGAGCGAAAGUGGAGCUAGCAACAAAAUUUGCAAUCAGUUAUCAGGAUGGGAAAUUUGAUGUACGUGGUGAUCCAGCCUAUGUGAGGGCUUGUUGUGAAGCGAGUUUGAAGCGGCUUGAUGUGGACUGCAUUGAUCUCUAUUAUCAACAUCGCAUCGAUACACGUGUGCCCAUUGAAGUCACGGUUUGCUCGUCUUGCCUUUCUUGUAUUUUAGCUCCACCUCAUUCUUGAUGAAACAAAAGUUUGAUCAACUCCAAAUUUCGAAUAAUUCAGUUUCAUGUGCGUUUCAAUUCUUCAAAAAUUGCACAGAAAAGUUAGUCAACCUUAUGGUCUAGGCUAAUCUGCAGUAUGCUAAAUCUUAUUUAGCACCAGGCACCCUGAAAAGUGAAAACAAUGAAAAUGUCUUAUAUUAGCUUGGCAGUCCUGCUGAGGGAUAUACAGGUGGAUAUCAUGCUAUACAUUGUACAGCUUUCCUUUAGAAGCAAGAGACCUGAGCAUUCUCUUUCAUUUGAGAUAGGCUAUCCAGUUGAGUAAUGAUAUGCUAUUUACUUACCUUGUCAUUCGUUUUCAGUCGGUGCCAAAAGCACUGCAGAUAGAAGUUUUUUAGUCGAUAUCUAAAAAACGUGGUACUCAUUUUGUUCAGAGUAUAGCUUUUUGUCUAAUUGUGAAAGCCAGCUGCGACUACCAUUGACCUCUCUAAGCAAUUCAAAGAUUGCAGCUGCUUGCUUACAUUCAGCUUUUAUGAAAACAAUUUCUGUCUUCUUUUUCUAAUAUAGUCAGCAAAGAAUUGUCUUGUUUUUCCUGAGUAUUAGGAAGAAACUUUCUUGCAGUUUAAUCACUCAAAAUACAGGCAAGUAUAAAGGAAAUCAAGGAAAUUGACAACUGAUAAUUGAUAUGUACAGCCAUUAUUAUAUCUAGAAAACGUGACUGCAAAAAGCGCCUCCCACUCGCGUUUUCUGAGUCGCGUUUCCUGCACAAAACUUGCAGAAAUGGAAACGCGACUGUGCAGGUAAACGCGACUUCAAGUCGCGUUUUUGAAUCUUGACCCCUUCCUGCACUUUAUCACGCGGGCGCGUCAAGAGGAAAUGCCACCUACAUAUUAGCAACAACGAAAACUGAAACCCAAAAUCAGUCGAAUUCAAGGGAAAUAUAUUUAAACUAUCACACGAAAUCAAACAAACAAUUAAAAGAAACAAUUGGGUUGCCUCCCAAGUAGCGCCUUUCUUUAAUGUUUUUGGCUAGACAUGCUAUGCUUGUUCACGGGGGAUAAAAUCUUGUGGCUCGUUUCAAUGCUUCAUCUUCAAUAUGAUCCUGGUAACCCUCAUAGAUGGAGUAAUCUUUGAGCACACGAGUUACGGGCUUCCAUGGACUAGUAAAUGGCGUUAAACAAGUCAACAAUGAUCUGCAUUCUCCACUCACUCCUCCACCACACGCAUUCAUCGGUUCAAGAUAUUUUUUCAUUGCCACUCUUAACUUAUUCCUGUCAUGAAAUUUCAGAUUUUCUGGUAUAAUAAAAUCAAUUUCAGUAACAGGAAUUGAAGAGGAGGAAUUAGGAAAAUAUUGAUUAAGGAGUGGAGAAGAUGUCACCGCAUUUGGAAAUUGUUCACUGGAUUCAUUCACUUGAAUAAUUUGAUGUUGGAGUCUCAUGUCUUCCGCUUCAACUUCCUUUUCAACUGUAUCUUUGGAUCCUCCUUCUUGAGACUCUUGCAGUUCCAUAUCACUUGUCAGGAUAAUUGCACUCUCACCUUUCUUAGAGUCAUUGAUGGUCUGUGAGGGCAAGUCUGACAUGAAUGACGAUUGUUGAGACUCUUGCAGCUGAAAACUCAUUGGCCCCUCUUCAUAAUUAACGUUGGAGUUAUCCCACCAUCCUUGAUCAUACCGGUUUGAAUAAGGGUCAUACCACGUUUGAGAUCGAGGUGAAGAAUCUCCAAAUUUUUUUUUGAGAUAGUCACUCAGGUAGUCUUGAUAUUCGGGGCACAUACCGGUUGAAUGAUCCCUGGCAUAACAAAUUUCACAGGUUGCAGCAGCCAUUCUUUCUCUAACAGAGUUUAGUGCCUCUGCAUAUGCAGACCUCACAAAAAAACUAGCCUCAUUACCUUCCCCGGAAAUAAAAUCCAGUAUAUCACCAAAAUACGGAGUGUAAGAAACCAUAAACUAAAUAAAAAAAAAGAAUGUAAACAAGAUGAAUUGAAAAAGAAACAAAUAACUAGCGCCAGUCCCCGGCAACGGCGCCAAAAAUUGACAGGUGCCGAACCUGUACAAUAAUAAAUACCUACUCGAGAAAAAUACAGAUUUUGUAUAUAGCGGUGAAUAGGGUCGAAUCCACAGGGACUGGGGAUAAUUCGUUUCUUCUAGAGUCCAAAGUAUGGGGGGUUUUGGAUUGAAUGCUAACUAAAUAAAUUAACUGCAGAAAAUAAUUGAUUAAGAGAAAUAAUUAAGGGAAAACUCUAGCCAAGGGUACACUUCAGACAUGGUUCAGGCACUGAUCAUUGAUUCACACAUAAUUCCACAUUUAUUAAUAGACCAGUUAUAGUUGUCAUGCACGCGAUAAACAACCAACCUUUCCUUAAUUUCUCGAUAGUUAAGGUACGACCGUUAACUAUUUCUCUAACCCAAAAACAACCCUAAGUACGACCGUAGGAUUUAAUUUCUAGAUUGCAUUAAUAAUUAGAAAGGCCUAAUCCUAACUAACAAACACGCUACGAGGGUUUGUUUAAGUUAGAUCGUAUGCUCCCCUGACAUAAACUCAAUUACGCCAGUUGCUACUGAGAUAAAGAUAACGAACAAUUACGGAUUCAAUUAUCCCUAUUUAGCAAAAUAGCCUAUGUGAAUAAUUAAAUAUUGCGCAUCUAUUCAAUCACUCACACGAGCUAUAGCAAUUAAAAGCAGGAAACAUAUAAAUAUAAAUAAAUUAAGGAAGCAAUUAAAAUAAAUUAGAUCUCACAGUAAUUGUUGAACCAAAUCUUCAGUUGUCCCCUUGACUUGAAUUAAGAGGUUAGUUCUCCAUUAAUGGAGAACAACCAUGCGAAAGAGCUAAGAAAAGAAAACUCAAAACUCAACUAAAAACCUCAAACUAGUGAUUCAUUCCUCCCCGUUCUCUUGUACGUUUCUCCCUUUUUAAAGCCAAAAGGAAGUCUAAUGCUAUCUCUAGUGGUCCCCACACCAAAUUCAAAGUCUUGUACGUUUCUUUUCCUAGAGUCCAAAUGAUUCAUGCUUCUUAUCCGUGGUCCCCGCACAUGUGGACAAAGCCUUCCAAGUACUUCUUGUUCCAAGUCUCUUUCCGUAGCUUUCUUUGAAGAGCCCAAAUGACUUAUUAGCUUUUCACUAGCUUGUGGUCCCCACCACUCCAAGGGCCCAAGAAUUGAAGUCCUUAGAAGUCUCCCUAUUUUCCAUAAAGUCCUUCCUUUUUGGUAGUUUCCUGCUUCAUUCCUGAAAUUAAGUCCAGAUACCAAAUAUGAGUAAAUAUUAGCAAUUAACACAAUAUUUAUCAGGGAUGAAAGGGGAAAUUAAUAAUAAAAUUACUAACAAAUUAUACCCUAUCAAUCUAGUUCAUGAUUUUCUAGUAAAAUGCCUCAAGCACCCAAAAUUUUACGUAAACUUGAGUAAGCAUGUAUUUCAUAUCUGUAGAACUUGCCAUUUGUGAAACCUGCUUUAGAUAUGAAUUGUGGUAUGCAACAGCACGCUAGGAAUGUUUGGCUAAGCAACUUAUGUAAAUAUUUUAUCGUUAAGCAAAGUUCCUCCUUUCAUGUCUGUCAUUCUAUGCAAACCUCCUUUUAUCGUUAAGCAACUUAUGUAAAUAUUUUAUGUAAAUAUUUUGGUUUUCUUACUUUCCCAUCCAUAUCUAAUCCAAAUAUGACAAAUGAGAACUAUUUUCCUCUACUCUCCUUUCCUUUCUUUUUUACUAGGAUGUUUUAUUUAUUUAUUUAUCCUUUCCUUUGAUCCAAAUGGUUCCUAAAAGGGCACUAAUUAAUCUACAUUGAUCAGUUCCCUAUAUUUGUAUUAAUGUGCAUGUACACGAUUCUGUGAAUGACAAUUAGGCUAGAUUGCUUCAAAUCUUGUGAAUGACAGAGCUAGAUUGUAAAUUUAAGUUGAAGAAAUAUAAAACAAAAAGAAAAAGAAAAUGGAUUGGCUCCUUUAAGAGUAUCAGACUUCUAAACCCCAAGGAUUACAUAAUUUUCAUAUCCUUUGCCACACAAAGAAGUGGCAUAGCCUUAACAAUGAAGUGUUGGAAAAACUCCAGAAGGACUGUGCAAUCCAUGAAAUCACAAAAUCCGCUUGCUAUACCAUGCAUUAAUGUGUAUGUCCUUGAUGAUUAACAUAAUGAAAUCAUGGUUCUAGGCCUUGAAGGAAGGAAUAAGAGCGAAAGUGGAGCUAGCAACAAAAUUUGCAAUCAGUUAUCAGGAUGGGAAAUUUGAUGUAUGUGGUGAUCCAGCCUAUGUGAGGGCUUGUUGUGAAGCGAGUUUGAAGCGGCUUGAUGUGGACUGCAUUGAUCUCUAUUAUCAACAUCGCAUCGAUACACGUGUGCCCAUUGAAGUCACGGUUUGCUCCAUUUUGCCUUUCUUGUUUUUUAGCUCCACCUCAUUCUUGAUGAAACAAAAGUUUGAUCAACUCCAAAUUUAGAAUAAUUCAGUUUCAUGUCCGUUUCAAUUCUUCAAAAAUUGCACAGAAAAGUUAGUCAACCUUAUGGUCUAGGCUAAUCUGCAGUAUGGUAUUGCUGAAUUAGCACAAGGCAUCCUGAAAAGUGAAAACAAUGAAAAUGUCUUAUAUUAGCUUGACAGUCCUGCUGAGGGAUAUACAGGUUGAUAUCAUGCUAUACAUUAUACAGCUUUCGUUUAGAACCAAGAGACCUGAGCAUUCUUUUUCAUUUGAGAUAGGCUAUCCAGUUGAGAUAUACUAUUUACUUACCUUGUCAAUCGUUUUCAGUCGGUGCCAAAAGCACUGCAGAUAGACGUUUUUUAGUCAAUAUCUAAAAACAUGGUACUCAUUUUGUUCAGAGUAUAGCUUUUUGUCUAAUUGUGAAAGCCAACUGCAACUGCCUCAUUGACCUCUCCAAGCAAUUCAAAGAUUUCAGCAGCUUGCUUACAUUAAGCUUUUAUGAAACGAUUUCUCUGUCUUCUUUUUCUCAUGUAGUCAGCAAAGAAUUGUCUUGUUUUCCCUGAGUAUUAGGAAGAAACUUUCUUGCAGUUUAAUCACUCAAAAUACAGGCAAGUAUAAAGGAAAUCAAGCAAAAUUGGCAACUGAUAAUUGCUGCGUACAGCCAUUAUUAUAUAUAUAAGUCAACAAUGUCAUGUAAUCAUAUUGGAGGAGCAUUAUGUUGGCAUGGUCCAGUAGAACUAAGUCAUCCGUUGGGCUGUACAUAGAGAACUAUCACUGGAUGCUUAUUGCCAUUUUCAUCAACUAGGGAUUUCAGUUUGACGUAUACUUUGUCCAAGACUUCGUUGAACUAGUGCAACUUUUACUUGUUCCACGUAAUAUUUCGAUUAUCUGCCUAAGUAUUGAAUGUAAUAAAUCAGCUUCGCAUCUUCUUGUCCAUUGAAAUUCUCUAGAUUGGAGAGCUCAAGAAACUGGUUGAAGAGGGUAAAAUAAAGUAUAUAGGUCUGUCUGAGGCCUCAGCUUCAACAAUUCGAAGAGCACAUGCUGUUCAUCCAAUAACAGCUGUACAGUUGGAGUGGUCAUUGUGGACCAGAGAUGUCGAGGAAGAGAUUAUUCCCGCUUGCAGGUAGUGCGUAUAUUCUGCUGCAUUUUCUACAUGGUCUAGAAGAAAUAUGAAGUUCUCAAUUCAGUUUUUGGUAUAAUCUUUCAGAGAUCUUGGCAUAGGGAUUGUUGCAUAUAGUCCACUUGGACGAGGUUUCUUCUCAUCAGGUCCAAAGCUGAUCGAGAAUUUGGCUGAAGGUGACUUCCGAAAGGUUUGUGCAUAGCCAAAAAGAUUGUUUAUAGUUCGAAUAAGUUUCUCACUCAGUGGCAAUCUUGCUUGAUCACAUUUAAUCAAAUUUCUAUUAAGCAUAGCAAUUCAACGGGUUUUUUUUUUGUUUUCUUCUUGAACAAGUCUUGAACUCUUUAGUUUGAUUCAAUGAAUGCAGAUUUUGGUGUCCUCGGUACUUAGUUCAAAUUAAAAGAUAUAGCACUAGCUUUGUCAAAUUUUAGAUCUUAUAUGAAUUGAAGGUUGUUAUUGCAUGCUGGAAAUUUAUAUAGAGGACAACAAUCGCAAGCAAUGGAUGGUAUUGAAUUUUAAAGUGCAAAGACGUCCUAAGAUGUCAAAACAGGAAGAAACUAUGCCAGUUUUUAAGUAAAAGUCUCUUUACUGUUUUGAGGGGAAAUGGGCCUUAGACUUCAAUUUCAUCAUUUAGUCUCAGGCACAGAACUUAUGUUGUCUUGUGAAACUAUCAUUUUUCUUUUACCAUUAAUCCUAAAACUGAGUUUCAUUGGUCAGAACUCAGAAGUAUACUUCAUAGUUGAUUUGUAUUUUAAGUUUCCUCUUUGAUGGGAAAUAUAUCUCAGAACUUAACUCCAACAGUUGAUGAUUCCUACUUGGGAGUAUUCAGUCCACCUUGAUGCAUUGUUCUUUCCCCUGAACUUGUGCCCUUCAAACAAUAUUUCUGAUCAUCUUGAAGUAAUUAGUACCGUCUGUUCAUUACUCCCUUCUGAUUUCUUGCAUUAUAGUUUCCUCUUUAAUGGGAAAUGUAUCGCAGGAUCUACCUUCUACAAUUGAUGUUUCUUUCCCCUGAAGUUAUUCGUAACGUCUUCUGGCAUUAUAGUUGCUUAAAUUUUGAAAUUCAUACAAUGCAGUAUAUGCCAAGGUUUCAAGCAGAGAAUUUGGAGCACAACAAGAACUUGUACGAGCAGGUCAAUGCCAUUGCUUCAAGGAAGGGUUGUACUCCAUCACAGCUAGCACUGGCCUGGGUCCAUCACCAAGGCAAUGAUGUUUGCCCCAUACCGGGCACUACCAAGAUUGAGAACCUCAAUCAGAAUAUAGGAGCUUUGUCUGUAAAACUGUCUGCAGAGGAAAUGGCGGAACUUGAAUCCAUCGCUUCUGCAGGAGUCAAGGGUGAUAGGUAUGGGCCUGGCCUUGUUACUUGGCAAACUUCUGAAACUCCACCUUUGUCAACCUGGAAGAGGACAUGAAGACAUAUCUUUGUUAUGGCAAUAAUUCCUUCUAGCUAUGUGCCUGAG